rnacentral:rRNA from 1 species
UACGAAGGGGGCUAGCGUUGUUCGGAAUCACUGGGCGUAAAGCGCACGUAGGCGGGUCGUUAAGUCGGGGGUGAAAUGCCAAGGCUCAACCUUGGAACUGCCUUCGAUACUGGCGAUCUCGAGUCCGGGAGAGGUGAGUGGAACUCCGAGUGUAGAGGUGAAAUUCGUAGAUAUUCGGAAGAACACCAGUGGCGAAGGCGGCUCACUGGCCCGGUACUGACGCCUGAGGUGCGAAAGCGUGGGGAGCAAACAGG